rnacentral:rRNA from 1 species
CCCUCCUUCCCGGGAAGCAUCCCUACGGGGAAAGCCGCACUGGGAAUUUUUACUAAUGGGGCCAGCCCGGAUGAAGCAAGACGGCCGUCGGGAGAACAGCCUAUUGUUUUUAAACAACUUUCCACGUGGAGGGAGCUGUGACGGUACCUCUCGAAUCAGCAUCGGCUAACUACUUGCCAGCAGCCGCGGUAAUAAUGAGGAGGCGAGCGUUAUCCUGAAUUAUUGGGCGUAAAGCGUCCGUAGGUGGUGGUCCAAGUAUUCUGUUAAAGCAUGCGGCUUAACCUCAUACCUGCAGUCGAAACUGACUGUCUAGAGUGAGGUAGGGGGAGGCGGAAUUACCAGUGUAGCGGUGAAAUGAGUACAUAUAUGGAAGAACAAACGCGGCGAAAGCGCGUACCUGGAUGUGCACUGACAGUGAGGGGAGGCAAGCUAGGGGAGUGAACGAGAUUAGAUACCCAUCUAGUUCUUGCCGUAAACUGAUGCACAGUAGGUGUUGUCUGUAUCGACCCGGUCAGUGCCGUAGCUAACGCGAUAAGUAUGCCGCCUGGGAGUCGCUGCAGUG